rnacentral:rRNA from 1 species
CGGGCAAUGGCGGCAGCCUACCAUGCAGUCGAGCGGUAACAGGAGAAAGCUUGCUUUCUUGCUGACGAGCGGCGGACGGGUGAGUAAUGUAUGGGGAUCUGCCCGAUAGAGGGGGAUAACUACUGGAAACGGUGGCUAAUACCGCAUAAUGUCUACGGACCAAAGCAGGGGCUCUUCGGACCUUGCACUAUCGGAUGAACCCAUAUGGGAUUAGCUAGUAGGUGGGGUAAAGGCUCACCUAGGCGACGAUCUCUAGCUGGUCUGAGAGGAUGAUCAGCCACACUGGGACUGAGACACGGCCCAGACUCCUACGGGAGGCAGCAGUGGGGAAUAUUGCACAAUGGGCGCAAGCCUGAUGCAGCCAUGCCGCGUGUAUGAAGAAGGCCUUAGGGUUGUAAAGUACUUUCAGCGGGGAGGAAGGUGAUAAGGUUAAUACCCUUGUCAAUUGACGUUACCCGCAGAAGAAGCACCGGCUAACUCUGUGCCAGCAGCCGCAA